GCUAAGGUCCCAAAGUCAUGGUUAAGUGGGAAACGAUGUGGGAAGGCCCAGACAGCCAGGAUGUUGGCUUAGAAGCAGCCAUCAUUUAAAGAAAGCGUAAUAGCUCACUGGUCGAGUCGGCCUGCGCGGAAGAUGUAACGGGGCUAAACCAUGCACCGAAGCUGCGGCAGCGACACUAUGUGUUGUUGGGUAGGGGAGCGUUCUGUAAGCCUGUGAAGGUGUGCUGUGAGGUAUGCUGGAGGUAUCAGAAGUGCGAAUGCUGACAUAAGUAACGAUAAAGCGGGUGAAAAGCCCGCUCGCCGGAAGACCAAGGGUUCCUGUCCAACGUUAAUCGGGGCAGGGUGAGUCGACCCCUAAGGCGAGGCCGAAAGGCGUAGUCGAUGGGAAACAGGUUAAUAUUCCUGUACUUGGUGUUACUGCGAAGGGGGGACGGAGAAGGCUAUGUUGGCCGGGCGACGGUUGUCCCGGUUUAAGCGUGUAGGCUGGUUUUCCAGGCAAAUCCGGAAAAUCAAGGCUGAGGCGUGAUGACGAGGCACUACGGUGCUGAAGCAACAAAUGCCCUGCUUCCAGGAAAAGCCUCUAAGCAUCAGGUAACAUCAAAUCGUACCCCAAACCGACACAGGUGGUCAGGUAGAGAAUACCAAGGCGCUUGAGAGAACUCGGGUGAAGGAACUAGGCAAAAUGGUGCCGUAACUUCGGGAGAAGGCACGCUGAUAUGUAGGUGAAGUCCCUUGCGGAUGGAGCUGAAAUCAGUCGAAGAUACCAGCUGGCUGCAACUGUUUAUUAAAAACACAGCACUGUGCAAACACGAAAGUGGACGUAUACGGUGUGACGCCUGCCCGGUGCCGGAAGGUUAAUUGAUGGGGUUAGCGGUAACGCGAAGCUCUUGAUCGAAGCCCCGGUAAACGGCGGCCGUAACUAUAACGGUCCUAAGGUAGCGAAAUUCCUUGUCGGGUAAGUUCCGACCUGCACGAAUGGCGUAAUGAUGGCCAGGCUGUCUCCACCCGAGACUCAGUGAAAUUGAACUCGCUGUGAAGAUGCAGUGUACCCGCGGCAAGACGGAAAGACCCCGUGAACCUUUACUAUAGCUUGACACUGAACAUUGAACCUUGAUGUGUAGGAUAGGUGGGAGGCUUUGAAGUGUGGACGCCAGUCUGCAUGGAGCCGACCUUGAAAUACCACCCUUUAAUGUUUGAUGUUCUAACGUUGGCCCCUGAUCGGGGUUGCGGACAGUGUCUGGUGGGUAGUUUGACUGGGGCGGUCUCCUCCUAAAGAGUAACGGAGGAGCACGAAGGUUGGCUAAUCCUGGUCGGACAUCAGGAGGUUAGUGCAAUGGCAUAAGCCAGCUUGACUGCGAGCGUGACGGCGCGAGCAGGUGCGAAAGCAGGUCAUAGUGAUCCGGUGGUUCUGAAUGGAAGGGCCAUCGCUCAACGGAUAAAAGGUACUCCGGGGAUAACAGGCUGAUACCGCCCAAGAGUUCAUAUCGACGGCGGUGUUUGGCACCUCGAUGUCGGCUCAUCACAUCCUGGGGCUGAAGUAGGUCCCAAGGGUAUGGCUGUUCGCCAUUUAAAGUGGUACGCGAGCUGGGUUUAGAACGUCGUGAGACAGUUCGGUCCCUAUCUGCCGUGGGCGCUGGAGAACUGAGGGGGGCUGCUCCUAGUACGAGAGGACCGGAGUGGACGCAUCACUGGUGUUCGGGUUGUCAUGCCAAUGGCACUGCCCGGUAGCUAAAUGCGGAAGAGAUAAGUGCUGAAAGCAUCUAAGCACGAAACUUGCCCCGAGAUGAGUUCUCCCUGACCCUUUAAGGGUCCUGAAGGAACGUUGAAGACGACGACGUUGAUAGGCCGGGUGUGUAAGCGCAGCGAUGCGUUGAGCUAACCGGUACUAAUGAACCGUGAGGCUUAACC
rnacentral:rRNA from 1 species